CCUACGGGAGGCAGCAGUAAGGAAUAUUGGUCAAUGGAGGCAACUCUGAACCAGCCAUGCCGCGUGCAGGAUGACGGCCCUAUGGGUUGUAAACUGCUUUUAUACAAGAGAAAACCCUGGUACGUGUACCAGGUUGAUAGUAUUGUAAGAAUAAGCAUCGGCUAACUUCGUGCCAGCAGCCGCGGUAAGACGAAGGAUGCAAGCGUUAUCCGGAUUCAUUGGGUUUAAAGGGUGCGUAGGCGGACUGAUAAGUCAGUGGUGAAAUCUCUUUGCUUAACAAAGAAACUGCCAUUGAUACUGUCGGUCUAGAGUAUAGAUGACGUUGGCGGAAUAUGACAUGUAGUGGUGAAAUACUUAGAUAUGUCAUAGAACACCGAUUGCGAAGGCAGCUAACGAAACUAUAACUGACGCUGAGGCACGAAAGUGCGGGGAUCAAACAGGAUUAGAUACCCUGGUAGUCCGCACCGUAAACGAUGAUUACUCGUUGUUGGCGAUAUGACAGUCAGCGACCAAGCGAAAGCGAUAAGUAAUCCACCUGGGGAGUACGCCGGCAACGGUGAAACUCAAAUGAAUUGACGG
rnacentral:rRNA from 1 species